rnacentral:rRNA from 2 species
GGUUAAGCGACUAAGCGUACACGGUGGAUGCCCUGGCAGUCAGAGGCGAUGAAGGACGUGCUAAUCUGCGAUAAGCGUCGGUGAGGUGAUAUGAACCGUUAUAACCGGCGAUUUCCGAAUGGGGAAACCCAGUGUGUUUCGACACACUAUCAUUAACUGAAUCCAUAGGUUAAUGAGGCGAACCGGGGGAACUGAAACAUCUAAGUACCCCGAGGAAAAGAAAUCAACCGAGAUUCCCCCAGUAGCGGCGAGCGAACGGGGAGGAGCCCAGAGCCUGAAUCAGUGUGUGUGUUAGUGGAAGCGUCUGGAAAGGCGCGCGAUACAGGGUGACAGCCCCGUACACAAAAAUGCACAUAUUGUGAGCUCGAUGAGUAGGGCGGGACACGUGGUAUCCUGUCUGAAUAUGGGGGGACCAUCCUCCAAGGCUAAAUACUCCUGACUGACCGAUAGUGAACCAGUACCGUGAGGGAAAGGCGAAAAGAACCCCGGCGAGGGGAGUGAAAAAGAACCUGAAACCGUGUACGUACAAGCAGUGGGAGCCUCUUAAUGGGGUGACUGCGUACCUUUUGUAUAAUGGGUCAGCGACUUAUAUUCUGUAGCAAGGUUAACCGAAUAGGGGAGCCGAAGGGAAACCGAGUCUUAACUGGGCGUUAAGUUGCAGGGUAUAGACCCGAAACCCGGUGAUCUAGCCAUGGGCAGGUUGAAGGUUGGGUAACACUAACUGGAGGACCGAACCGACUAAUGUUGAAAAAUUAGCGGAUGACUUGUGGCUGGGGGUGAAAGGCCAAUCAAACCGGGAGAUAGCUGGUUCUCCCCGAAAGCUAUUUAGGUAGCGCCUCGUGAAUUCAUCUCCGGGGGUAGAGCACUGUUUCGGCAAGGGGGUCAUCCCGACUUACCAACCCGAUGCAAACUGCGAAUACCGGAGAAUGUUAUCACGGGAGACACACGGCGGGUGCUAACGUCCGUCGUGAAGAGGGAAACAACCCAGACCGCCAGCUAAGGUCCCAAAGUCAUGGUUAAGUGGGAAACGAUGUGGGAAGGCCCAGACAGCCAGGAUGUUGGCUUAGAAGCAGCCAUCAUUUAAAGAAAGCGUAAUAGCUCACUGGUCGAGUCGGCCUGCGCGGAAGAUGUAACGGGGCUAAACCAUGCACCGAAGCUGCGGCAGCGACACUAUGUGUUGUUGGGUAGGGGAGCG